rnacentral:rRNA from 1 species
CGAUGUAUAGGAGCUGACGCCUGCCCGGUGCUGGAAGGUUAAGGGGAUCUGUUAGAGCAAUCGAAGCAGUGAACUUAAGCCCCAGUAAACGGCGGCCGGAACUAUAACGGUCCUAAGGUAGCGAAAUUCCUUGUCGGGUAAGUUCCGACCCGCACGAAAGGCGUAACGAUUUGGGCACUGUCUCAACAACAGACUCGGUGAAAUUGUAAUUCCGGUGAAGAUGCCGGAUACCUGCGACAGGACGGA